rnacentral:lncRNA from 1 species
CUCCUACUUCAGUCCCCAGAGUAGCUGGGACUAUAGCCAGUUUCAGACAUUGGAAGCCGGACCUGCUCUGCCCAGAAAGCCUCAUUAGGAAGAGAAGGAAGUACCCAGCACCCCAGGAGUCAAGUGUUAGCUGACCCAAUUAUUCACAUGUUGAAGACAGGCAAUGGCAAAAAUUGGAAUGGAAAAAAAAAAGAGACCCAAAUCCUCUAUGACGCCAGGAGGUAAUGAUGGAGCAGUGGUGAGAACCACUGAAUGCCACAGGCCUCAAAGGAAGAAAAAAGAGCUUUUGAAUGAGGCAAACUGCUGCAUGGAUAAGAGGCAGUCUGGCCGCAUGAGAAGGUUAAUCCUUGAGCAUCCUUCUCUUGGGAUUUUCUCUGGGAAAAUCCCAGUUUCACUUCCAGGAAGGUGUAUUAGUUUCUUAGGGCUGCUAUAACAAAGUACCACAAACUCAGUGGCUUAAAACAAGAGAAAUGUAUUCUUUCCCAGUUCUGGAAACUGAAAGUUUGAGAUUAAGUGUUGGCAGAGCCAUGUUUGCUCUGAAGGCUCUAGGGAAGAACCCUUCCUUUUCAUGUCCUGGCUUCUGGUGAUGUCGGCAAUCCUUGCAUUCCUUGACUUGUAGCUAUAUUGCUCCAGUCUCUGCCUCCAUUCUCUUCCCUGUGUCCCCUCUGUGUCUUCAAAUCUCUCUCUCCUUGAAAGGACACUAGCCAUUGGAUUUAAGGCCAUCCUAGUUAAGAAUGACCUCAUCUCAACUUGAUUACAUCUGCAAAGGCCCUAUUUCAAAAUUCAGUUACAUUCAAAUAGACUGGGGUGAGGAUGUCAAAAUAUCUUUUUGGGGGACACAAUUCAACCUACAGCAGAAAGGAAUAGAAGCAACAUUGUGUGAUCAGGCUGAAGGAGAGAUGAAUUAUUUAUAAUCGAGUGAGGACUUCAUAGAAUUAAACAGAAAGGAUUAGACAUGGGUUAUCAAGAGAUGACUGUCAAAAGGCAGGAAGCUUGGAAGAGAUAGUUGUAGCACUGAUGCUUAUAAAGCAGAGAUCUGAAAGUUGAAGGUCCCAGGGAAAAGCCAGAUGAUGUCAAUGAGUGAAACAUCCUGCAUGGGGUGUGUAGUGAAAUCUGAAAGCAGCCACUGCUCAGCUCCAGCUGGUUGCUGUCACAAGAGAAUAGACCCCAUGUUGUCAGAUUUUUCAAAAAUAAGCAGUACACUCAGAUUAUGUGGCAUCUCCUGAAUUUAAAAUGAUGACAGCUAGUUACACAUGUUGAUGAACUGUAGAGACUACAAACCCUGAUGCUGGCUGGAUUUGUACCAUGGAUGGUCAAGGAUCACAUAGCUAGGAGAGGCAGGGUAUACAGGACAGGCAGGGUAUACAGGACAGGCAGGCAGGAUAAAAAUGGAAUGCACAGCUCAGUGUUCUCAUUGGCAUGCCACUGGUCUCCCUGGUCAUAUGGAAAGCUGUUAGGAUGCAGAGUCUAAGCCCUGGUGGUUUCUGCUGAGCAGGCUGCCGGAAACAGAUGGUCUUCUUUUUGUUAGAGACAAUCACGACUCCUCCCUCUAAAGAGCUUACUGUCCAUUUGAGUGGAGAAAACUGCUGUACUUGAGAUGGGAGGUUUCUUGUGCAAAUCACCUCUGUAGCCAGAGCUUCUCAGGUUGAGUAGGAUUUAGGCAUGCAAAGGAGGUGGCCUCACUCAGUGUCCUCCAAGAAGGGAAAACAGCAUGGAGACAAGCAGGGAGAUGGUGUGUGCAGGAAGAGUAA